AGAGUUUGAUCCUGGCUCAGAUUGAACGCUGGCGGCAUGCCUUACACAUGCAAGUCGAACGGCAGCACGGGAGCAAUCCUGGUGGCGAGUGGCGAACGGGUGAGUAAUAUAUCGGAACGUGCCCAGUAAUGGGGGAUAGCCCGGCGAAAGCCGGAUUAAUACCGCAUACGACCUACGGGUGAAAGCGGGGGAUCGCAAGACCUCGCGUUAUUGGAGCGGCCGAUAUCAGAUUAGCUAGUUGGCGGGGUAAGAGCCCACCAAGGCGACGAUCUGUAGCUGGUCUGAGAGGACGACCAGCCACACUGGGACUGAGACACGGCCCAGACUCCUACGGGAGGCAGCAGUGGGGAAUUUUGGACAAUGGGCGCAAGCCUGAUCCAGCCAUGCCGCGUGUGGGAAGAAGGCCUUCGGGUUGUAAACCACUUUUGUCAGGGAAGAAACGGCUCUUACUAAUAUUAGGGGCUAAUGACGGUACCUGAAGAAUAAGCACCGGCUAACUACGUGCCAGCAGCCGCGGUAAU
rnacentral:rRNA from 1 species